UACGUAGGGUGCGAGCGUUAAUCGGAAUUACUGGGCGUAAAGUGUGCGCAGGCGGCAAAGCAAGUCGAGUGUGAAAUCCCCGGGCUUAACCUGGGAACUGCAUUUGUGACUGCAUCGCUGGAGUGCGGCAGAGGGGGAUGGAAUUCCGCGUGUAGCAGUGAAAUGCGUAGAUAUGCGGAGGAACACCGAUGGCGAAGGCAAUCCCCUGGGCCUGCACUGACGCUCAUGCACGAAAGCGUGGGGAGCAAACAGG
rnacentral:rRNA from 1 species